GAGAGCGCGGCCAAACUUCGCCGGCCGUCGCCUGAGUGAGAACUAGCCGGAGGAAAAAAAGAAAAUGUAAAAGCGGGGGGGGGGGGGGGGCGAGCUGUUCAACCGGCGUGAGAGAUCCAGCCGGCCGCCUACACUUCGCUUCGCCGCGCGAUUGGCUGAGCGCGACGCGUGACGUCAUCCGGGGUGGCGUCGCGCACUCUUUUAACUAGGGCCCGAGCCCGGACGCCGCGCGGCCACUGACGCAGGCAAGGGCCACGAACUGGCACGGCCACAGAAGACAGCAGGCCCUAGGGACUGAACCCCGCGCACUUCGCCGCCAGCAACAAGUUCGCGCGCCCUGCGUACUCGCUCUCCGCUCAGCUGCCUCGGACAUCGACGCAUCUCGUCGGCGGCCAUGCUGUGUCCCCUGCUUCUCCUGGCGGUGGGCGCCGUAGUGGCUCUCGGUCGUCCCAGCGACCGGACGCCCUGGGACUCUGAGGCCCGCGACUUGCUGGCCCUGCGCUACCUGUCCGGUGAGGGCCGCGGUGUCCGGCCGGCCUGGCCCAAGCGGGCGCUCAGCCUCUUCGCCCACUGGCGGCCCCAGUACACCCCCGGAGGCGACGAGCCCGAGCUGCCCAGCGACAUCUCCGGAAGGCCCCACGGACUCCCGCUACGCUGGGGCUAGGCCCCCGAGCAGCAGGGACCGCGCGGGGUCGUCUAUCGUCAGGCGACGCCAAACGCUGGUGCGAGGCAGCGCACGUGCCUGUAUCCACUCUCCCCCACACUGGUCCUACAGAAACUCGCUGAGGCAGAAAUGAGAAGCCACCCUUCUUUUGUUUGUUUGUUACGAUUCGGGCUUCUUUUGAGACUGGUGGAUUGUGUCCGCCGCACUUUCUGUAUUACUGCCCAGAACCUGUUAUCGAAAACUUCUGCGUGCUGCAUCGGCUGCGUUUGUAAGAAUACGAAUCGAUAUUUUUAUUUAUUUAUUUAUCAUUUUCUUCGUUCUACGGAGCCAUUGAUCCCGAGUAUUACGUGACACUAUCUCAGAAGCCCCCUGCGUACAUAUCGUGGUAGUGCAUCAUAAGAGGAGGGAUCGGUAUCACAAUCUCAGUAUGAUAAAAUGAUACAAGGUCAUUGCGUGAAAACACGACAAAUUGUGCGCCCCUCAUUCAUCAUCCACCAUUGCGGUCAUGCGCAAUAUACAUGACUCAUGUGUUCAACGUUUUCUUCUGUUUCUAUAUUUCUUGUCGGCUGCCGCUAGUGAGUUGCGCCGAUAACGCCAGUUUCUCGCUUACCGCAGGUUCUUUUGCACUGUUGUUAUUAUAAGAUAGUAAUCGCAAUCGCGCCGCCGCUGUCUAGCCCUAAAUAAGGUUCAGUGCUAAUAAAGCGGACAAAUGAAGCGCACUUACGCCAUGAAAAAAAAAGGAAACAAAAGAAACAAUGGAAGCUUUAUACGGCCAGAAGUUUUAUGCCAGCACAGCAUAGCCCUAAUUAUCCGGCUUUAAGCAAGUCUAAAAUGAAAGUUUACGCACCUGCUUAUUUACCAUCUCAAAGUUCGCCAUGUCAACCAGUUAGGUAGUCAAAGGGCCGAAACAGGUCGCUUUUGACGACAGUAAUUUGAUUGCAAUUUGCUUGGAAACGUAAACUCGAACCAACGAUGCAGCGUGUUAAGAACGUUGCACCUAACUAAGGACAAACGUUUACCCUAUAUAAAACAUAAGAUUUACAUUCGUGAGCGCGCGUCUUGUGCAAUGCAAUAACACUAUUUCUCAGUUAUCGUUUCGAAUAGUUAUGACAAGCCGUGUAUAUAAUCCGUGUAACCCUUAUGUUUCAAAUGUUUGCCACUAUGUUUAUUUUCGGAUUUUCGGUAGAAAGAAAUUGACGCCUUAAUUAAUGUUGGUUUGAGGAUGCGUCGCUUUCGUUUGUUGCGAAGCUGGCAUAGGGUUCUGAGGGAUUAUCAAGACGUAGCGUGAAUGUCACGACAGUGCAGUGAGUAAGAAACAUCCGUGAUAAGUGUUACGAUGCACACAGGCACGAUGCGGUCUCGCGUGUCCCUGAAUACGAGGGCGAAAGGAACAAGGAAAGGAAGAGGAGUGGGCACGUAUUAAACUGCGCGGAAAUUCAUAUAGAGCCCAGCUUAUCAGUGCUUCCGGGAUCUCUGUGGUUCACUGCACAAUAUACAUCUGAAAUGCAAAGGCAUCGCUAUACUCUUACACAAAACAAAAGCACCGGUCUUGUAAUGCUCUAUAUGCAAACCGUGAUCGCUUCCACAAAACAUUAAAGACGCCCACAUUACUGCUGGCGGUGUUGUUGCGUAUCGUUUCGUGCACUGCAUGUUACUUAAUCGUGCAAAUUUACACAUAAAACGAGUUACAGAAUGAGAGCACUGUUCGCUGUUUUCUAUACCAUAACACCCGCAGAAAUAAUCGAAAUGUUCAGUAAACGUUUCUAUCGUGCAUACACGAUCCCUUACGAAGUAGCCACUUUUCAUUUGGUGACUCGCCAAAUGUAUCCUUCAGCGUAGAUGUCUCUCAUGCGUUUCGUUUUGUGUAAAAUAUGAUAUAAUCGACUUCUGUAUCGACACAUUUAUCAAUAAAUAAAUUGCAACUCAAAGAAGCAGCAGAAAGCACACGCUGCGUGUAUUUCAACAAACGCUAAUCUGAAGCAAUUUAACAUUGAGCGUCUUGCAUGCUUCGUCGUUACAGUAUACCUUGUUGUAUUGCUUGCUGUCUAAUAAAAUUUCGUUGUAGCAGCGUU